rnacentral:misc_RNA from 1 species
GAGCGGGGGUGAGCUCAGUUGGUAGAGCGUCCGCCUUGCACGCGGAAGGUCAGCGGUUCGAAUCCGCUCAUCUCCACCAGUGGUUUUCUCAUGUUUUAGUGGGUAGUAAAUAAAAAUUACUUGUGAUCCUUGAAAUUUUUGUAGGUAGUUCUUGUCGUAUAGGGUAAUUGAUUAAGUUUUGAUUAAUUGAAAAGGGCAUCCGGUGGACGCCUAGGUAUCAAGAGAUGAUGAAGGAGGUGGAAGACCGCCAAAGGCUUCGGGGAGCUGUCAAUCGAGCUGUGAUCCGAAGGUAUCCGAAUGGGGAAACCCGG